CCGAACCGUCGACGUGAGUUGUUGCUGGUCUCCUGUGGGACACGUGCACGCUCCGUCAACACAUCCACUCACACCCGUGCACCCUCUGUAGUUCUCAUGGUGUGGGGGACCUGUGGUCCUCCCACCGUGGCUCUACGUAUUUACACACACACCGUGAUGAAGUCUUAUGGAAUGUAUACCGCGUUUAACGCAAUACAAUA
rnacentral:misc_RNA from 1 species